CAAUAAAAUCAGGAUUUUCCACAAUCAAGUUAUAGAAUUUAUAUUCAUUUUUUGUAUUUCUAAACCGGUGCCGCUUAGUAUUGUGGACUUUGUACCUUUAGUCUGGUUUCUUAAUGAAAAUAAUGAAAAGUAACAGCUCUUGACAUUGAAAUUUCAGAUCCCUGCACCGAUCGUAAAGGUCGUUACCUUUUUUUGAAACGAUAAAUACAUUUUUGUACCUUUUUAGUUUUAUUCGCGUUACACCACAUUUUUUAAAGCUAAAUUUGUUGCAUUGUGUUCGCUUUUUUUAACCCGAUUUUUACCCGGUCAGUUUGGUGUGAAUUAUUGAAAAGUCAUUAAUAUUCCUUAUUUGUAUAAUUUCGUUUUGAAGAAAAAUCACUGUUUUUGCAAAUUUUCAAAAAAAAAUUAUCAAUGCUAAUUACCAUAAAUCCAAAAGUACAUUAAUGGGGCAAACCAACCAUCAUGGAUGACAGCAGAUAUUUUUACAAAUUGGUCGAUCUGUGAGGAUAAAAAUAUGAUGGAUAAAGCUCAAUCAAGGGUCAUCGGAAUCAUUCAAGCUUCUAAAUGCAUUACCUGAAUAGUAGUUUAAAGAAAGUUCUAUAACUUUUAGAAAACCCAAAAAAGUACACAAAAUUUCGUACCAUAAUUACAAAUUGUUUCACAGGUUUCGAGAAAUUUGGUUUAAGUUUCGACUUCUAUUCUUUGAUGAACAUCGAUUUCUUUAAGACAUUCACCAAAUUACAAGAAACCAGAGCGGUGGUUAAAAUGAUAAUGAUGAUAAAGACGCUGGAAUAAAAGUACCUGAUAGGGAAGAAAUUCAAUAAUUUUCAAAUAGCAAUUUUGUUAAUGCCGAACGUACCGAAUGGAGUACAAUAUUCUUUGACCCGAUAAAUUUUUUUGACAAUUAAGAGAUUUUCUUAUGAGAUUAUAUUUUUUUGUUAUUCGUGUUAGUGAAUUCGAUUAAGGAUGUCUUCGAAUUACAAAUGAGAAUUGUACUCAGAAGUGUUCUAAUGUAUAGUUAUAGAGAUAAAACAGUUCAAUAAGAAAAUAUGCAUACACACAUUAUCGAUUACCCCAAUAACUAUACGAAAGAAAGCGAAAGAUAUAGGAAUGUGAAUAAAUAAUUGAACAACCCUAA